GCAUCUAACAUCACCUGCGUCUAACAUCACCUGCGUCUAACAUCACCUGUGUCUAACAUCACCUGCACUAACAACUGCUCUCCUAACACCCACCUUUUACCUGCAGGUGGCAACUGAACGAGGUGGUGUAUGUGGGUUACCUCGUGGAUAUCUUCAACGCCCUCGCCUUCAAACUCAAUUUUACGUACAAGAUAGUGCUCCCCAAGGACGAAGAACAGCACACCUUCGGGAUGGGCAGCGCUGACAACUACUCUGGCUUGGUCGGCAUGGUCGUCAGGGGGGAGGCAGACGUCGUCCUCGCCAGCCUCUCUAUCUCAAAGGGACGAUUCAGAGACAUCGACUUCUCAUCUUAUGUCGAACUCUUCGCCUGGCAGAUCUACAUUCGCUACAGCGCCAUUCAGUUUGACAUUGGGU